UGCAAAGUCUUAGUGAAAAAUCAGACAGGCAAGAAGAUUAAAAGGCUACCUACGGAUAAUGGUCAUGAAUUUGUUGAUGAUGAAUUCAAUGAGUUUUAGGAGAACACCAUAGCAGAAUAGUGUUGCAGAGCGGUUGAAUCUAGGGGUGUAAGUUAUUUGGUUAAAACCGAAAACCAAACCAAACCAAACCAAACCGAAUUAGUAAUUUGGUUUGGUUUUUUUUUUGAAAUUCGGUUUGGUUUGGAUUAAAAAAAAAAAAAUGGUUUUUUGGUUUGGAUCGGCUUUGGUUUUGGAAAACCGAAAAAACCGAAAUUGAAAACUGGACCAAGCGACCUGCCCAGCGCCCCAGCCCACUUAAUGUCUUUUGAAUCCUAAACUACUAACCUUCUAAAGACCUAAACUAAACCAGUAAAGAGUAAACCCUAACUCCUCCUCUCCACCUCCUCUCUUCUCCUCUCCCUGACGGGCGACGGCUGCGACCUAAACUACAGAUCCCCACGCGGCACGCCGGCACGCCGCACGCGACAGAACUUGAAGAGGUUGUGCACGCCAUUUCCUCUUUCAGAUCAGGUAUUUUUUUUGUUUAUUCUUUUUAUUAUUAGUUACGAAAAUAUAUCAAUCUCUGUUUUUUUUUUGUUUUUUUUUUAAUAUUAGUUGCGAAAAAUAGAAAAUAUGAAUAUAUUGUCAUUGAUCUCUGUUUUUUUGUUUGUGUUUAUUUUUUUUAAUAUUAGUUAUGAAAAUACCAAAUUAUUAUCACUUAACAUACGAAUUUUGUCUGUUAUUUUUUUUUGUUUCUUUUUUUUUUUUAAUAUUAAUUUGGUAUUUCUUAAUAUUAACAAUAUUUAACAUACGAAAAUAUGAAUAUACGAAUUUUAACUAGAGAAAACAAUAACUGUUAUUACUUAUUAGUAAUUUAGUAGUGUAAAUGUCAGUGACUCAUUGUAUUGUCCCUUAAAUUAGUAGUGUAAAUGUCAUUAUAUUAUCUCUUAAAUUAGUAGUGUAAAUUAAUAGUGUAAAAUUAGUUAUGAAAAUAGGAAAUUGAUAUCACUGAUUCACUGCUGUUUUGUAGAAUCAUUUAGACAUCUAGUAAUGUCUUCUGCCGGAAAUGUUGAAGCUCCACAACCACCACAAGCAUCUGCCUCCUCCAAGAAGGGAACUCGGAAGCGUAUGAAAGAUCGAUCACCAAUUUGGGAGCACUUUGAGAAGCAAGAAACAGAUGAAGGAAUUCGAGCAUAAUGCAAAUAUUGUGCGCUUAGGUAUAAUUGUGACCCAAAAAAGAAUGGAACUAGUACUUUGUGGGCUCAUCUCAACAAGUGUCGUAAGUAUCCCUAUAACACACCAAGAGAUUCUAAGCAAAGUUUAUUGUCUUUUCAAUGUGUGAAUAAGAAAACUGGUGUGACUAGUAGUAGUCUUUCUUAUCAAAAAUUUGAUGCUCAAAGUUGUAGAAAAGCUUUGGCUUUGAUGAUUAUUAUUGAUGAAUUGCCAUUCAAAUUUGUUGAGGCUCAAGGUUUUAGAAAAUUUUGUGGUGUGUUGGAGCCGAGAUUUCAUGUGCCUUCUAGAGUGACAAUUGCAAAAGAUUGUUAUGAGAUAUUUUUAGAUUUGAGUAAGAUUGUGCUUGAGGACGUUGAUGAGGAUGAUGGUUGAUCCCCGAGACCGUUGAUAUUGAAGAUGACUAAGCCAUGCCGAGAUGUUUCUUGCUCCUAGCUUUAUGAAGUUGAUUUAGCAUUUAGAUUGACGUGUUUGUAUUUUAAAAAAUUGUUUGGUACUAAUUACUAUCACCAUAAACAUGUAUCAAAUGGUAGAAAUUUUAUGUUGGUGGCAUUGUAUGAUGUAACUUGGUAGUUGGUAAACUUAAAGCUUGGAAGCAGGGUUAUUUUUAUCGAAAAGUUUGGUUUACAUUCGGUUUGAUUUGGAUUUUGAAAUAUGAAAAAAUAUGGUUUGGUUUGGUU